AUUGAACGCUGGCGGCAGGCCUAACACAUGCAAGUCGAGCGAGCGGCGGACGGGUGGGUAAUGUCUGGGAAACUGCCUGAUGGAGGGGGAUAACUACUGGAAACGGUAGCUAAUACCGCAUACCAUCAGAUGUGCCCAGAUGGGAUUAGCUAGUGGGUGGGGUAACGGCUCACCUAGGCGACGAUCCCUAGCUGGUCUGAGAGGAUGACCAGCCACACUGGGACUGAGACACGGGACAGACUCCUACGAGAGGCAGCAGGGGGGAAGAUUGCACAAUGGGCGAAAGCCUGAGGCAGCCAUGCAGCGUGUGUGAAGAAGGCCUUCGGGUUGUAAAGCACUGUCAGCGGGGAGGCGUUACCCGCAGAAGAAGCACCGGCUAACUCCGUGCCAGCAGCCGCGGUAAUUC
rnacentral:rRNA from 1 species